rnacentral:rRNA from 1 species
CGAGUCGAGUUGUUUGGGAAUGCAGCUCAAAAUGGGUGGUAAAUUUCAUCUAAAGCUAAAUACUGGCUGGAGACCGAUAGCGCACAAGUAGAGUGAUCGAAAGAUGAAAAGCACUUUGGAAAGAGAGUCAAAAAGUACGUGAAAUUGUUGAAAGGGAAGCGCUUGCAACCAGACCUGUCCGUGGGUGAUCAGCCGCCGUUCUCGGUGGUGCACUCGCCUACGAUCAGGCCAGCACCGGUUCGGGCGGUCGGACAAAGGCCUUGGGAAUGUAGCUCCUCUCGGGGAGUCUUAUAGCCCUGGGUGCAAUGCGGCCAGCCCGGACCGAGGACCGCGCUUCGGCUAGGAUGCUGGCGUAAUGGUUGUAAGCGACCCGUCUUGAAACACGGACCAAGGAGUCUAACAUCUAUGCGAGUGUUUGGGUGUUAAACCCAUACGCGGAAUGAAAGUGAACGGAGGUGAGAACCCUUUAGGGCGCAUCAUCGACCGAUCCAGAUGUCUUCGGAUGGAUUUGAGUAUGAGCAUAGCUGUUGGGACCCGAAAGAUGGUGAACUAUGCCUGAAUAGGGUGAAGCCAGAGGAAACUCUGGUGGAGGCUCGCAGCGGU